AGAAUUGAUCUGGUCAGAACGAACGCUGGUGGCGUGUCUUAUACAUGCAAGUCGAGCGAGGCAGCAAUGCCGAGCGGCGAACGGGUGAGUAACGCGUAAGCAAUCUGCCCCAUAUCAGGAAAUACCCGUGCCAACGCGCGGUUAAUGUCCAGGAGAGUGGCCAGCUGCAUGGCUGGUUGACUAGAGAUUUAUCGGUAUGGGAUGAGCUUGCGUCCGAUUAGCUAGUUGGCGGGGCAACGGCCCACCAAGGCGACGAUCGGUAGCCGGCCUGAGAGGGUGAUCGGCCACAUUGGGACUGAGAUACGGCCCAGACUCCUACGGGAGGCAGCAGUAGGGAAUAUUGCACAAUGGGGGAAACCCUGAUGCAGCAACGCCACGUGUGGGAAGAAGCAUUUCGGUGUGUAAACCACUGUCAUGAGGGAAUAAGGCCCGCCUUCGGACGGGAUUGAAUGUACCUUGAGAGGAAGCACCGGCAAACUUCGUGCCAGCAGCGGC
rnacentral:rRNA from 1 species